GCUGUCACCCAGCCGCACUGGGGAGGCAAUCUUUACCCAGACCAGCAAUUCCAGUGCUAAUCUCUUCUGGAAACAUUCUCACCGACAGGGGCAGAAACGCUGUUUACCGGCUCUCUGGGCAUCCCGCAGCCCAGUCAAAUCACCCACACGGUGGGGCCCGGGGCGGGGGGUUCUGCUCCGCCAGCCCUGAAGCCCGGCUCGAGGACGCGGCCCCAGCCGUGCACACCGAGGCGUGCACCCGGGUGAGGAGUAUCCUCCCCUGUGCACCCGGUGAGAAGUAGGGUGGCUGCACACCGGGAGGAGAGUGGGGAGCUCCGCGCGGGGGAGGGGGAGGGCCGCCGCCGCAAUGCGCGCUUCCACCGGAACCUGCGAGCCCAGAUGGAGUCAGGGCGCCGCGGGCUGUGCAUGCGCGCCCCCGCCCGGGGCUAUAAAAACCGCAUCAUCUGCUGCUACUAGAGCAUCCAGUUGUCAGAAGCCAGUCACCCUCUCCUGCGGCAUCUUUGCUCGACAUGGACCCUGAGACCUGCCCCUGUCCUACUGGUGGUUCCUGCACCUGUGCUGACUCCUGCAAAUGCGAGGGAUGCAAAUGCACCUCCUGCAAGAAAAGCUGCUGCUCCUGCUGCCCCGCGGAGUGCGAGAAAUGCGCCAAGGAUUGUGUGUGCAAAGGUGGAGAGGGGGCAGAGGCUGAGGCUCAGAAGUGCAGCUGCUGCCAGUAAGAUGAGGACCUGCCCCUCCUCGAACUAUUGUAAAUACUGCUGGGUGGUCCAGUGCCACCUCUCCCUGUGGGGAGGCUCAGCUGUGUGUCUAUGAUCCCUGCUAGCUACUGGCAAGUGACAAUAAAUUCUGUG